rnacentral:rRNA from 1 species
CAACUUUCAACAACGGAUCUCUUGGCUCUGGCAUCGAUGAAGAACGCAGCGAAAUGCGAUAAGUAAUGUGAAUUGCAGAAUUCAGUGAAUCAUCGAAUCUUUGAACGCACAUUGCGCCCCUCGGUAUUCCGGGGGGCAUGCCUGUCCGAGCGUCAUUA